GAUUAGCUAGUAGGUGGGGUAACGGCUCACCUAGGCGACGAUCCCUAGCUGGUCUGAGAGGAUGACCAGCCACACUGGAACUGGGACACGGUCCAGACUCCUACGGGAGGCAGCAGUGGGGAAUAUUGCACAAUGGGCGCAAGCCUGAUGCAGCCAUGCCGCGUGUAUGAAGAAGGCCUUCGGGUUGUAAACUUCUUUUAACAGGGAAGAGAAGAAGACGGUACCUGUUGAAUAAGCCACGGCUAACUACGUGCCAGCAGCCGCGGUAAUACGUAGGUGGCAAGCGUUGUCCGGACUUACUGGGUGUAAAGGGCGUGUAGCCGGGAAGGCAAGUCAGAUGUGAAAUCUGGAGGCUCAACCUCCAAACUGCAUUUGAAACUGCUUUUCUUGAGUAUCGGAGAGGUAAUCGGAAUUCCUUGUGUAGCGGUGAAAUGCGUAGAUAUAAGGAAGAACACCAGUGGCGAAGGCGGAUUACUGGACGACAACUGACGGUGAGGCGCGAAAGCGUGGGGAGCAAACAGGAUUAGAUACCCUGGUAGUCCACGCUGUAAACGAUCAAUACUAGGUGUGCGGGGACUGACCCCCUGCGUGCCGCAGUUAACACAAUAAGUAUUGCACCUGGGGAGUACGAUCGCAAGGUUGAAA
rnacentral:rRNA from 1 species